UUCAGGUGAAUUACUGUCAUUUGAACGUUUUUUUGUUCAUAAGUAUUACAAUGUAAAUUAUGUCGAGUAUUUUAUCAUCACCAUGAAAUUCAACAUGGUCCAAGUUGAACCAUUUGAAUAAAUUUAAAUGCUGAGUCGUUUCCGCUUCUAGUAAGUGGCGUUUGGUGAUUAGCAGUUAAUUAAAUUUGUAGCUAAUUUUUUUCUUCCACACUUCGAGUGAUAUUAAUAUUCAUAUUCUAAUUACUGGUCUACCAUUUAAAAUGGUGAAAGAAUUACCAUCAAAAAUAAAGGUAAACAUAUUUACUAUAUUAACUAUGAUAAGAGUAAUAAUUUAAUUGUCUAUGGAUUUUGAUCAACUCACGUUGGAAUCAUUCUCAAAUCAAUCAAAAGGUUACCCUGGUUCUCAGUUGAAAAGAUGGCAACCAAAUAUAUCAUCAUCUAUCCCUUGUAAUAAUCUCUCUCUCUCUCUCUCUCGUGGCCCAUGAGUUACUUGAUUAUUAGACCCCAUUCUGAGAUCUCAAUUUGUAAUCAAAUUUAUGAUAUUAUUUAAUAGAUACUCAUGAGUCUAUCAUAGUCAAAAUAAUUCUUCUAUCAGUAAUAAAAUAUAUUCUCAUUGGCUAACAUUGAGUCAAUCAUCAUCAUCAAUGAUCAGAAAUCAUCAUUUGAAACAUAAAAUUUUAAUGGUAAUAAAAUCAGAGGCUCCAGGGGGUUUUACAAGUCUGUCUUAUUCUUGGCUUGAUCAUCAUCAUGAACAGGAUGAUGAUCACCAUCGGUGGAGGUCUUAGUUUCAUCUUUCUUCAGCACUUUCUUUCAUCAUCAUCAUCCUCUUCUUCCGUUAUCAUGAUUCUCAUCAACAUUGGUACCAAAAUCUCUCGAUUAAAGAUGUUGAAAUGGUGAGAUUUUUAUUACCUUUUCUCUUCUUCUUUUCCACCUUGAUUUUGUCAUCUUUCUAUGUCUUUGGUUACCUUAUCUUGUUAAUUCACUUCACUACUUUAAUUUUAAUUGUUGAUUAUAAUCAACAACAUCUCCGAUCAAAUGUCAAUUUAAUUUUCAAGUCCAAAGCCUUAAAAAAUAAUUGACAAUCAAAAUCAAGUUAAAUCUUUAU